rnacentral:rRNA from 1 species
UACGUAGGGAGCAAGCGUUGUCCGGAAUCAUUGGGCGUAAAGCGCGCGUAGGUGGCUUCAUAAGUCCGUUGUGAAAGUCAAAGGCUCAACCUUUGAAAGCCGAUGGAUACUGUGGAGCUAGAGUACGGAAGAGGCGAGUGGAAUUCCUGGUGUAGCGGUGGAAUGCGCAGAUAUCAGGAGGAACACCAAUAGCGAAGGCAGCUCGCUGGGACAUUACUGACACUGAGGCGCGAAAGCGUGGGGAGCGAACAGG